UUCAUUUUUAUUAAAUUUGAAUAAAUAACCAUUUCUUUUUUUAAAUUUGAAUAAAUAACCAUUUCUUUUUCUAAAUUUAAAUAAAUAACCUUCUUUUUUCUAAAUUUGAAAUAAUGACCCCUUUUUUUUUGUGUGCUGGUGGUGUUACCACAGGUUUGUGUAUGCGUCUAGUGUGGUUGGGAGUCAUAGACUCUUACACUGCCGCUGGAUAGCUUAUAUUCAUAGGUGAAAAGAAAGCUGAGUGUGUAAGUCUUUCCUUCCAGUACAUAGCCUCUACACUAACAAGACUUCUACAGUGCCUCCCCGUGACAGCACAUGGUAACUAGGAUCUAGUGUCCUAGGCUUAACUGUAGAGGAUCUCGGAGUAGCAAGGACCCUAGAGAUGAAGUGUGUAGGCCGAUCGACGUACGAACAUCACUAGCACUCAUCAACCUUGCCCCAGUUAUGGGUUAAAUAGCCGGCUGAAUGAUGGUCAUCAGCCUUGAAAGGAUGUCUAGGAGAAGAAAACUCUGAUAUGAAAUUUUUGGUAGAUUUGACUCGUCAGCCUUGGUCUACAAUUGAUCUAAAGGAAAUAAAGCUUGAGUAAAGAUUCUCUGGUUCUCAAGGUUUGGGAUUGAGAGAUAUGCCAACAACCUAUCCUUGUAAAAAGGAAGAAUGAUUAUAUACCAAUUAAUCUCCCAGAUGAGGAACAUCACAACCGGAUCUGCAUGAAGCUUUAACAUUCAAAAGACUAGUUAUCCUGGAUAUUUUGAAAACACGUAAAUGAUUUAGUGAAGGAAAAUCGAAGGAAAGUAGGAUCUGGAUGUAAAAUAAUACCAACUUUAAGACAAAGCGUGCUUGUUAAUUUAGAAAUCAACUGAAGCAGAAGAAUGGAUUCUGUUGAUCUGAGGAAUUUGGAAACACUUGUUGACAAAAAAAAUAUGUAGUAAUACAAUUAUGUUUAAAGAGAGAGAUAGAAAGAGGGGGGAGAGCCAGUUGUAAAGAUUUAUUCUUUUAAACCAGAUAUGUUGAUUACAUUCAAAUUUCAUAGGCCUACAGUUCCCCCCUAAAUGGUCUUAGUUAAUACAUGUACUAUGUGUUUAAUGUAAGACUUUGAUGUGACUUGUGAGAACAAUCAGCUGCCAUUGGUUUAAAUCUAUUUUUAUGCCCUUUCAG